AGUAUGCAGUCUAAUUUGACUCGGCUUGGGAAAACUUAUAACAGGUCAGGACGAUGGGAGAACUGGCAGACCGAAUUACCUUUGUCGAAUACGCGGAAGGUGGUACAUGGCCCUUGUUAUACAUGGAGGAGCAACUCGUAUUGUUAGGUACGAUAGCGAAGGAGACCCUGGCCUGAUAAAUACGCGCGUGGUUCCCAGCACAUUACAACCUUCUUACUGGGACAAUCGGGUUCCAGCUGCAACAAACAGAGCAGCAACAGAUAUGUGAUAUCUGGGGGCCUCACGUGUGCU
rnacentral:rRNA from 1 species